rnacentral:sRNA from 1 species
CCUUAAGGAUGUUCGACUAAAAACGUCACGUCCUGUGACGUCGAACUGACCCGCCUCGUGGAGG